AUAAACUCGGGGGACUGCUGACUAUAACCAUUUCUCAAAACAGAGGAAGGUUGCGGCAAUAACAGGUCUGUGAUGCCCUCAGAUGUCCCGGGCUGCACACGUGCUACAAUGAGUGGCGCAAUGUGCUAAUGUUUUAAGGGAUAAGCGUGCGGCCAGUAGAACGUCGGCAAUUGCCCUGGCGUCUUCUACCGCACGAUUAUCAGCCUUCCCUUAACAGGGCGGGCAACCUUUUCAAAAUACCGGUUUGAUGUUAAAGUAUAGAGUCGUUUUUUUUGGAUGGUGGUUUACGAACCAAUACCAUCCGCAACUGCUCGCGAGUUUGUGGUUCUGGUGACUCAUGGUGGGGACCGAUGUUUGUAAUUGUUUGUCGCGUGUCAACUAGGAAUGCCUUGUACUGUCGAUUCACUAAGUU
rnacentral:rRNA from 1 species